rnacentral:lncRNA from 1 species
UGUCAUUUGACCUAAGCUGGCCUUAACCAUGCUAUGUAGUGAGGAUAAUCUUGAAUGCCUUACUGGUGUGAGCCAUCACUUCUAGUUUAUGUGGUACUGGGGAUAGAAUCCAGGACUUUGUACGUGAUGAGAGCAUUGUGGAUGAGAAUGGUUCAUGUGCUUGAAUACUUUGUCCCCAUUGUUGGAACUGUUUGGGAAGGAUUAGGAAAUGUGCCCUUAUUAGAGAAAGGGUUUCACUAGGAUCAGGCGCUGAGGUUUCAAAAGACACCAUUUAGAGUUAGCUUUCUAGACCUCUUACUUGUGCAUCAAGAGGUGAGCGCUCAGGUGUUGAGGCCAGCAUGCCUUUGUUCCACCAUCAUGGACUUCAAACCUAGGAAACCAUAAGCACAGUGAAACACUUUUGUUUUGUCGGUUGUCUUGGUCAUGGUGCUUUAUCCCAGAAAGAGAGGCAACUACAACACCAACAAGCAAGUGUUCUACCAAGUGAGCUAAACUGCUAGCCCUGAAAGCCUACUGUCUUUGUAAAACCUGCUCCACCCACUCCAGCCUAGAUGACUCUUCUGCCUAGGGAUUCUUGCAAAGUGAUUUGCCGGCUUUUUGAGAUGAGAUCUUCGGUAGCCCAAACUAUCCUCACUAUGGAGGUGAUCUCCUCAGCCAAGACCUGAAGCAGCUGGAAGGCCCUCGCUGGGACAUCAGUCCCAAGCUCUGGAAUGCCUCAGCCUCCAAACUGUGAGAAACAAAGAUAUUCUGUUAGGACAGCAGAAAAUGAACUGAGCCAUUUCAGUUUCAGAAGAUGGAGUAGAGGCACGGCCUGUGCUGGGACCAGCAUGACAGAAAUGUCAGGAGAUGUCUGGAAUUAAGAGAAUUACAAAGAGAAGGGGGAAACAUACGAAGAAACGCGCUCCAAGGGAACUUUAGAGGUAAGAUAUCUAUUUAUGGUCCUAAGAGACUACUGAGGCCAAUGAGUUUGAGAAGAAUGUUAAUAUCAAGACAACAGAAGAUACUAAUGAAGCAAGAGAAUCCUGUUGGAGACAACAAAGAACACUUCUGCAAGGAAGGGCCGGUUAUGGCAACUGCAAUCAGCUCUAAGGGUCUACCAUCAAAUGGUUACCCAUUUGGUGAUGAUAAUCAAGUUCUACAGCGAAUCACUUGGACACCAAUAAAAAGUCAAAGGACCAAAAUGGAUGCAUUGAGUAUCUUAAAACUUGAUCAUAUUAAUACAUUUAAAAGGAAGGCAAUUUUAUUAUUAAUGGAUUUUUUAUUUGCA